rnacentral:rRNA from 1 species
GGACUACUAGGGUUUCUAAUCCUGUUUGCUACCCACGCUUUCGUGUCUCAGCGUCAGAAGUGGUCCAGAAAGCUGUCUACACCACAGGUGUUCCUCCUGAUAUCUACGCAUUUCACCGCUACACCAGGAAUUCCGCUUUCCUCUCCCACCCUCAAGCAUUCCAGUUUCCGCUGCACCCUCCCAGUUAAGCCGGGAGAUUUCACAACAGACUUGGAGCACCGCCUACACACUCUUUACGCCCAGUAAUUCCGAACAACGCUCGCUGCCUACGUAUUACCGCGGCGGCUGGCAC